GGGGCCAUAGCUCACUUGGUAGAGCGCUUGCAUGGCAUGCAAGAGGUAGGCGGUUCGAUCCCGCCUGGCUCCACCA
rnacentral:tRNA from 1 species